UUAAGCGACUAAGCGUACACGGUGGAUGCCCUGGCAGUCAGAGGCGAUGAAGGACGUGCUAAUCUGCGAAAAGCGUCGGUAAGGUGAUAUGAACCGUUAUAACCGGCGAUGUCCGAAUGGGGAAACCCAGUGCAAUUCGUUGCACUAUCGUUAACUGAAUACAUAGGUUAACGAGGCGAACCGGGGGAACUGAAACAUCUAAGUACCCCGAGGAAAAGAAAUCAACCGAGAUUCCCCCAGUAGCGGCGAGCGAACGGGGAGCAGCCCAGAGUCUGAAUCAGCUUGUGUGUUAGUGGAACGGUCUGGAAAGUCCGACGGUACAGGGUGAUAGUCCCGUACACCAAAAUGCACAGGCUGUGAACUCGAAGAGUAGGGCGGGACACGUGGUAUCCUGUCUGAAUAUGGGGGGACCAUCCUCCAAGGCUAAAUACUCCUGACUGACCGAUAGUGAACCAGUACCGUGAGGGAAAGGCGAAAAGAACCCCGGCGAGGGGAGUGAAAAAGAACCUGAAACCGUGUACGUACAAGCAGUGGGAGCACCUUCGGGUGUGACUGCGUACCUUUUGUAUAAUGGGUCAGCGACUUAUAUUCUGUAGCAAGGUUAACCGUAUAGGGGAGCCGCAGGGAAACCGAGUCUUAACUGGGCGUUAAGUUGCAGGGUAUAGACCCGAAACCCGGUGAUCUAGCCAUGGGCAGGUUGAAGGUUGGGUAACACUAACUGGAGGACCGAACCGACUAAUGUUGAAAAAUUAGCGGAUGACUUGUGGCUGGGGGUGAAAGGCCAAUCAAACCGGGAGAUAGCUGGUUCUCCCCGAAAGCUAUUUAGGUAGCGCCUCGUGAAUUCAUCUUCGGGGGUAGAGCACUGUUUCGGCUAGGGGGUCAUCCCGACUUACCAACCCGAUGCAAACUACGAAUACCGAAGAAUGUUAUCACGGGAGACACACGGCGGGUGCUAACGUCCGUCGUGAAGAGGGAAACAACCCAGACCGCCAGCUAAGGUCCCAAAGUCAUGGUUAAGUGGGAAACGAUGUGGGAAGGCACAGACAGCCAGGAUGUUGGCUUAGAAGCAGCCAUCAUUUAAAGAAAGCGUAAUAGCUCACUGGUCGAGUCGGCCUGCGCGGAAGAUGUAACGGGGCUAAACCAUGCACCGAAGCUGCGGCAGCGACACUAUGUGUUGUUGGGUAGGGGAGCGUUCUGUAAGCCUGCGAAGGUGUGCUGUGAGGCAUGCUGGAGGUAUCAGAAGUGCGAAUGCUGACAUAAGUAACGAUAAAGCGGGUGAAAAGCCCGCUCGCCGGAAGACCAAGGGUUCCUGUCCAACGUUAAUCGGGGCAGGGUGAGUCGACCCCUAAGGCGAGGCCGAAAGGCGUAGUCGAUGGGAAACAGGUUAAUAUUCCUGUACUUGGUGUUACUGCGAAGGGGGGACGGAGAAGGCUAUGUUAGCCGGGCGACGGUUGUCCCGGUUUAAGCAUGUAGGCUGGUUGUCCAGGCAAAUCCGGAUAAUCAAGGCUGAGGUGUGAUGACGAGGCACUACGGUGCUGAAGUAACAAAUGCCCUGCUUCCAGGAAAAGCCUCUAAGCAUCAGGUAACAUCAAAUCGUACCCCAAACCGACACAGGUGGUCAGGUAGAGAAUACCAAGGCGCUUGAGAGAACUCGGGUGAAGGAACUAGGCAAAAUGGUGCCGUAACUUCGGGAGAAGGCACGCUGGUGUGUAGGUGAAGUCCCUGCGGAUGGAGCUGAGACCAGUCGAAGAUACCAGCUGGCUGCAACUGUUUAUUAAAAACACAGCACUGUGCAAACACGAAAGUGGACGUAUACGGUGUGACGCCUGCCCGGUGCCGGAAGGUUAAUUGAUGGGGUUAUCCGUAAGGAGAAGCUCUUGAUCGAAGCCCCGGUAAACGGCGGCCGUAACUAUAACGGUCCUAAGGUAGCGAAAUUCCUUGUCGGGUAAGUUCCGACCUGCACGAAUGGCGUAAUGAUGGCCAGGCUGUCUCCACCCGAGACUCAGUGAAAUUGAACUCGCUGUGAAGAUGCAGUGUACCCGCGGCAAGACGGAAAGACCCCGUGAACCUUUACUAUAGCUUGACACUGAACAUUGAGCCUUGAUGUGUAGGAUAGGUGGGAGGCUUUGAAGCGUGGACGCCAGUCUGCGUGGAGCCAACCUUGAAAUACCACCCUUUAAUGUUUGAUGUUCUAACGUUGGCCCCUUACCGGGGUUGCGGACAGUGUCUGGUGGGUAGUUUGACUGGGGCGGUCUCCUCCCAAAGCGUAACGGAGGAGCACGAAGGUUAGCUAAUCCUGGUCGGACAUCAGGAGGUUAGUGCAAUGGCAUAAGCUAGCUUGACUGCGAGCGUGACGGCGCGAGCAGGUGCGAAAGCAGGUCAUAGUGAUCCGGUGGUUCUGAAUGGAAGGGCCAUCGCUCAACGGAUAAAAGGUACUCCGGGGAUAACAGGCUGAUACCGCCCAAGAGUUCAUAUCGACGGCGGUGUUUGGCACCUCGAUGUCGGCUCAUCACAUCCUGGGGCUGAAGUAGGUCCCAAGGGUAUGGCUGUUCGCCAUUUAAAGUGGUACGCGAGCUGGGUUUAGAACGUCGUGAGACAGUUCGGUCCCUAUCUGCCGUGGGCGCUGGAGAAUUGAGGGGGGCUGCUCCUAGUACGAGAGGACCGGAGUGGACGCAUCACUGGUGUUCGGGUUGUCAUGCCAAUGGCACUGCCCGGUAGCUAAAUGCGGAAGAGAUAAGUGCUGAAAGCAUCUAAGCACGAAACUUGCCCCGAGAUGAGUUCUCCCUGAGACUAUAAGUCUCCUGAAGGAACGUUAAAGACGAUGACGUUGAUAGGCCGGGUGUGUAAGCGCAGCGAUGCGUUGAGCUAACCGGUACUAAUGAACCGUGAGGCUUAACCUU
rnacentral:rRNA from 1 species